AACGAACGCUGGCGGCAGGCUUAACACAUGCAAGUCGAACGCACCGCAAGGUGAGUGGCAGACGGGUGAGUAACGCGUGGGAACCUACCUAUCGGUUCGGAAUAACUCGGGGAAACUCGAGCUAAUACCGGAUACGCCCUUCGGGGGAAAGAUUUAUCGCCGAAUGAUGGGCCCGCGUUGGAUUAGCUAGUUGGUGAGGUAAUGGCUCACCAAGGCGACGAUCCAUAGCUGGUCUGAGAGGAUGAUCAGCCACACUGGGACUGAGACACGGCCCAGACUCCUACGGGAGGCAGCAGUGGGGAAUCUUAGACAAUGGGGGCAACCCUGAUCUAGCCAUGCCGCGUGAGUGAUGAAGGCCUUAGGGUUGUAAAGCUCUUUCAGCUGGGAAGAUAAUGACGGUACCAGCAGAAGAAGCCCCGGCUAACUCCGUGCCAGCCGCCGCAGUAACAC
rnacentral:rRNA from 1 species